rnacentral:rRNA from 1 species
UACGUAGGGUGCAAGCGUUGUCCGGAAUUAUUGGGCGUAAAGAGCUCGUAGGCGGUCUGUUGCGUCGGCUGUGAAAACCCGGGGCUCAACCCCGGGCCUGCAGCCGAUACGGGCAGACUAGAGUUCGGCAGGGGAGACUGGAAUUCCUGGUGUAGCGGUGAAAUGCGCAGAUAUCAGGAGGAACACCGGUGGCGAAGGCGGGUCUCUGGGCCGAUACUGACGCUGAGGAGCGAAAGCAUGGGUAGCGAACAGG